UGAAAUAGUUACAUAAUAUUUAAAAUAUUUACAUAAUAUUCCAAAAUAAGGCAAAAAAACUGAGGUCAGUGGGGCAUGUGACAUGUCAUCGGUAGAGCCGCGUCAAAAAUUUAAUAUAGAAGGAAAAUUUAAGUAUGGUGCCCCACCACCGUCCUACAAAAGUAUAGACCAUAAUUAAAGUAUUGAACUCACUAAACCUGCAGAUCGUACCUCUUCAUCUCACUCGCCUUUAUUCAUCCUCCAUUCCUCUUCAUUCAUCAAUCCCACCUUCUUCACCCUCCCCAUGGCUGAUACCCUCGUUUCUAUUGUGCUGGAACGCUUAACUUCGGUUGUUGAACAGCAGAUUCAUGAACAAGUUUCUCUGGUUCCGGGUGUUGAAUCAGAAAUUCGAAGUCUCAAAAGCACACUCCGCUCCGUCCGAGAUGUUCUUGAAGAUGCCGAGAGGAGAAAAGUGAAGGAAAAAUCUGUCCAAGGUUGGUUGGAGAGGCUCAAAGACAUGGCCUACGAAAUGAUGGACGUGCUGGAUGAGUGGAGCAUUGCUAUUUUUCAAUUCCAGAUGGAGGGAGUUGAAAAUGCUUCCACGUCUAAGACGAAGGUAAGCUUCUGUAUGCCCUCCCCCUUCAUCCGUUUCAAGCAAGUUGCAAGUGAACGGACCGAUUUUAAUUUUGUCUCUAGUAGGAGUGAGGAGCGACCACAGCGACUUAUAACUACCUCUGCAAUUGAUAUUUCAGAGGUGUACGGUCGGGAUAUGGAUGAAAAAAUCAUAUUAGACCAUUUGUUGGGUAAGAUGCGUCAAGGGAAAUCUGGCCUCUACAUCGUGUCCAUAUUUGGGACGGGAGGCAUGGGCAAAACAACUCUUGCUCGACUAGCCUACAACCACCGAAAGGUGAAGACCCAUUUUGAUGAAAGAAUAUGGGUCUGUGUCUCUGAUCCUUUUGAGCCAGCCAGAAUUUUUAGGGAUAUUGUUGAAAUCAUCCAGAAAGCGUCUCCUAAUCUCCACAAUUUGGAAGCUUUACAACAAAAAGUUCAAACGUGUGUCUCUGGAAAGACGUUCCUUCUUGUGCUAGAUGAUGUGUGGACUGAAGACAAUCAAUUGUGGGAACAACUGAAGAACACCCUCCACUGCGGAGCAGCAGGGAGUAGAAUUCUGGCGACCACACGCAAAGAGAGUGUUGUUAAGAUGAUGAGAACUACGUACAAGCAUCCCUUGGGGGAGCUGUCUUUGGAGCAAUCUCGGGCAUUAUUCCAUCAAAUAGCUUUUUCUGAAAGGGAGAAAGAGGAAGAAUUAAAAGAAAUUGGUGAGAAAAUAGCAGACAAAUGCAAGGGCUUGCCCCUCGCUAUAAAAACUUUAGGGAACCUCUUGCGCAUAAAAAAUAGCGAGGAAGAAUGGAAGUACGUAUUGAAUAGUGAAGUAUGGCAGCUAGAUGAGUUUGAGAGAGAUAUUUCCCCUGCUUUGUUGUUGAGUUAUUAUGAUCUGCCCCCUGCAAUUCAACGCUGCUUCUCAUUUUGUGCUGUUUUUCCAAAAGCCUCUGUUAUUGAGAGAGAUGAGCUGAUCAAGUUGUGGAUGGCACAAAGCUAUCUCAAAUCUGAUGGGAGUAAAGAGAUGGAGAUGAUUGGGAGAACGUACUUUGAAUAUUUAGCUGCUCGGUCUUUCUUCCAAGAUUUUGAAAAAGAUACUGAUGGUAAUAUAAUACGUUGUAAGAUGCAUGAUAUAGUGCAUGAUUUUGCUCAAUUUUUGACUCAGAAUGAAUGCUUUAUUGUGGAGGUUGACAACCAACAAAUGGAGAGCAUAGAUUUAUCCUUCAAAAAGAUUCGUCAUAUCACCUUAGUUGUCCGAGAGAGUACCCCUAAUUUUGUCUCCACUUAUAACAUGAAGAAUCUACACACCCUCUUGGCUAAGGAAGCAUUCAAGUCAAGUGUUCUUGUAGCCUUACCUAAUUUGUUAAGGCAUUUGACAUGUCUCAGGGCAUUGGAUUUGAGCAGCAAUCAGUUGAUUGAGGAACUUCCUAAGGAGGUAGGAAAAUUGAUACAUUUAAGAUUCCUUAAUCUAUCAGGGUGUUUUUGGUUGAGAGAGUUGCCUGAAACAAUUUGUGAUUUAUAUAAUUUGCAAACCUUAAAUAUUCAAGGAUGUUCCAGUCUUCGGAAACUACCACAGGCAAUGGGUAAACUAAUUAAUUUGAGGCAUCUUGAAAAUUCUUUUCUUAAUAAUAAGGGCUUGCCAAAAGGAAUUGGAAGAUUAAGCUCUCUUCAAACGCUGAAUGUUUUCAUUGUGAGUAGUCAUGGCAAUGAUGAAGGCCAAAUAGGAGACCUGAGAAACUUGAACAACCUAAGAGGAGAUCUUUCCAUUCAAGGGUUGGAUGAAGUGAAAGAUGCAGGGGAGGCAGAAAAAGCAGAAUUGAAGAAUAAGGUACACCUCCAAGAUUUGACAUUGGGAUUUGAUAGAGAGGAGGGGACCAAGGGUGUGGCUGAAGCUCUACAACCCCAUCCAAACUUGAAAGCUCUACAUAUAUAUUAUUAUGGUGACAGAGAGUGGCCCAAUUGGAUGAUGGGUUCAUCAUUAGCUCAACUAAAAAUACUUAACCUCAAGUUUUGCGAAAGAUGUCCAUGUUUGCCUCCUUUGGGGCAACUGCCUGUCCUCGAGGAGCUGGGGAUAUGGAAAAUGUACGGUGUGAAAUACAUAGGUAGUGAGUUUUUGGGAUCAUCAUCAACAGUAUUCCCAAAGCUGAAGGAAUUGGCUAUUUCUGGUUUGGAUAAAUUGAAGCAAUGGGAAAUAAAAGAAAAAGAAGAGAGGUCAAUAAUGCCAUGUCUCAAUCACUUGAUUAUGAGAGGCUGCCCAAAGCUGGAGGGACUGCCGGGCCACGUGCUCCAGAGGACAACAUUGCAGAUAUUGAACAUCAGAUCUUCUCCUAUUCUGGAACGACGCUAUCGAAAGGAUAUCGGAGAGGAUCGACACAAAAUAUCUCAUAUCCCACAAGUCAAAUGUAGAUGCGACUGAAUGGUCAUCUCACUUCACCUCAUGUCGCUCUUGUUACAGGCUUCUCCAUUGAAGAGUAAGAGACGUUGAGGAAGACAACGGUUGGCGACGAACGGCGGCGGAUUGGGCGAUGCCGAAUUAUUCAUGGCGGUGAAGGGGCGGAGUCUCCAAUGAUUAGUGCCGAGAACAGCUUCCGGGAUGGUGGUGAUGAGGCAGUAACCAGCCAUGGCGGUGGGUUUGGUUGUGGUGGGAGAUUUCUUCACCCAAAGGUCAGUGUUGAUCUAUUCAAAAUCAUAACAAGAAAACCCUAAAAGAAGAUCAAAGCCGGAGCCAGUGUUGGAUUACUACAUAGCACAGGGACAAAAUUAAGAAAAUAGAGAAAAAGGUCUUCAAUGAUUAAGAGUAUGGAUUAACCAAGAAAGCAUUGUCAAUUUCAACUAUUUUUAGGGGAAAUAGAAGAAUAUAUGAUGCCAAAUAAUUAACAGAAAAUAAAUAAAUCAGUAAUUACCAAAAUGUGUGGACUAUUCAGAGGUAUUUUUUUAGGGCAAGACAAUCGUAGAUGCACAAAGUCUACAGCUGCGUCAUCCGGAGCAAGCAGUCCGGCAAGGGCCUCUAGCUUGGGGCAUUUCUCCACUGUCAAUGAACAGAGACAUGGCAUUAUUGCAACAUGGAAAAUGGAUGACAACAACCCAACAACCAGGGUUUGCUUUCUUUGCCAACUCAGACCAGAUCAUCCUUAGCUGGUGAGUACAUAAAUAAAUACAUAAGCAAAAUAAUAAGUGGGUAACAUCUACUCCCCUUAAUACCCUUUGUUGUUUUUUUUCUUUUAAUUAAUAUAAGCACACUUAAUGUAAACAUCUAUUCCCUAUUUGUUUAGUUGUAUACCAAUUUAUUACUUGUAACAAAAUCACUUUUUCAAAUGCUAAUUCAUUAGUCCACUUUCCUUAUUUAAAUAAUUUUAGGCAUAAA